AGACUUCUCACCGAAUCUCACCUACGGUACCACUGAUAUCAUGAAGACCCUUUAUGUUGUCAUACUCGCAGCUUUGGUGGUCGUGGUGAUGUCACGCGCUCGUCAUCCGAAAAUACCCUUAUCGCCGCUCAAAGAAAAGCUGGCCGAUCUUGGGAUAGAAAUGAAAGGCAAAGAGAUAAGGGAUUUUAAGAGAGACCCAGCUUGCAACGACGUGUGUUAUGACAAUUGUGAGGAAGAAGUGGAAGCUGGUGAGGCGACAGACUGCAACCAUUGCUGUGAAUAAUAUGUACCCAAAUAUUUUAGGUUUUGUUCCGCAGACCUGGUAUCGUGGAAAUACCAAGGAUUCACGGAGUUUCUUUGCUUUCGACUUUGUAACUCACAGUGUGUAUAAGUGUGUGAACGUAGUUUAUUCAACAGGCGCGAAGAUUGAAAACAGAAUAGCUGUAGUUAAAGGGGGUUUAUGCAAUGUUUGCUUGUUACAUCUAAAAAUGGUUCAUGAUAAAAUGACUUUGGUUUCAAAAGAGCAUCAAUUCACUUCUGCAUGGCAGGCUCUAACCUAGAGUAUGACUUAAUUUGAUAAAAUCUGAGUGAUUAACGUCUUACUUGAAUGUGAUUUUUUAGAUUUG